UGCAGUCGAGCGGAGAGAGGUAGCUUGCUACUGAUCUUAGCGGCAGACGGGUGAGUAAUGCUUAUGAAUCUGCCUAUUACUGGGGGACAGCAUUUCCUACGGAAUGCUAAUACCGCAUACGUCCUACCGGUGAAAGCGAGGGAUCUUCAGACCUUGCGCUAAUAGAUGAGCCUAAGUCGGAUUAGCUAGUUGGUGGGGUAAAGGCCUACCAAGGCGACGAUCUGUAGCGGGUCUGAGAGGAUGAUCCGCCACACUGGGACUGAGACACGGCCCAGACUCCUACGGGGGCAGCAGUGGGGAAUAUUGGACAAUGGGCGCAAGCCUGAUCCAGCCAUGCCGCGUGUGUGAAGAAGGCCUUAUGGUUGUAAAGCACUUUAAGCGAGGAGGAGGCUACUUUAGUUAAUACCUAGAGAUAGUGGACGUUACUCGCAGAAUAAGCACCGGCUAACUCUGUGCCAGCAGCCGCGGUAAUACAGAGGGUGCAAGCGUUAAUCGGAUUUACUGGGCGUAAAGCGCGCGUAGGCGGCUAAUUAAGUCAAAUGUGAAAUCCCCGAGCUUAACUUGGGAAUUGCAUUCGAUACUGGUUAGCUAGAGUGUGG
rnacentral:rRNA from 1 species